rnacentral:rRNA from 1 species
AACGAACGUUGGCGGCGUGGAUUAGGCAUAGCAAGUCGAACGAAUCCCUGGAGGCUUGCUUCCAGGGGAAAGUGGCGAAAGGGGCAGUAUAUGCGUGGAGUAACCUACCCUGGGGUUCGGCAUAGCCGUUCUAACGAACGGGUAAUUCCGAGCGAUGGUAGCGAGGUCGCAUGGUCUUGUUACCAAAGGUUUUCCGCCCUGGGAGGGGCCCACGUGGUAUUAGCUUGUUGGUGAUGGUGACGGCUCACCAAGGCCGAGAUGCCUAGCGGGGUAGUGAGGAGCACGACCCGCGCCACUGGCACUGAGACACUGGCCAGACUCCUACGGGAGGCUGCAGUCGAGGAUCUUCGCAAUGGGCGCAAGCCUGACCGAGCGACGCCGCGUGUGCGAUGAAGGCCUUCGGGUUGUAAAGCACUGUCGAAGGGGAGGAAGCUCCGCAAGGAGUUGACUAAUCCCUGGAGGAAGCAUGGGCUAAGUUCGUGCCAGCAGCCGCGGUAAGACGAACCGUGCGAACGUUGUUCGGAUUCACUGGGCUUAAAGGGCGCGUAGGCGGGCUUGUAAGUCAGGGGUGAAAUCCUCCGGCUCAACCGGAGAACAGCCUUUGAUACUGCGAGUCUCGAGGGAGAUAGGGGUCUGCGGAACUUCCGGUGGAGCGGUGAAAUGCGUAGAUAUCGGAAGGAACGCCGGUGGCGAAAGCGGCGGACUGGAUCUCAUCUGACGCUGAGGCGCGAAAGCUAGGGGAGCGAACGGGAUUAGAUACCCCGGUAGUCCUAGCCCUAAACGAUGGGUACUAGAUUGUAGACUGCAUGGGUUUACAGUCGAAGCAAAAGUGAUAAGUACCCCGCCUGGGGAGUAUAGGUCGCAAGGCUGAAACUCAAAGGAAUUGACGGGGGCUCACACAAGCGGUGGAGCAUGUGGCUCAAUUCGAGGCUACGCGAAGAACCUUAUCCUGGGCUGACAUGUCCGAAAGGGGCAGGAAGUAGCGUGCGGAAACGUUACGCGAACGGUAUCCAAUCCGGAACCUGCUACAGGUGCUGCAUGGCUGUCGUCAGCUCGUGUCGUGAGAUGUCGGGUUAAGUCCCAUAACGAGCGAAACCCUUAUUUCCAGUUGCCGGCGGGUCAUGCCGGGGACUCUGGAGAGACUGCCGGUGUUAAACCGGAGGAAGGUGGGGAUGACGUCAAGUCCUCAUGGCCUUUAUGCCCAGGGCUGCACACGUGCUACAAUGCCGCGUACAGAGGGAAAGCCAACUCGCGAGAGGGAGCCAAUCCCAAAAAACGCGGCCCAGUUCAGAUUGAAGGCUGCAACUCGCCCUUCAUGAAGUUGGGAAUCGCUAGUAAUCGCAGGUCAGCAACACUGCGGUGAAUGUGUUCCUGAGCCUUGUACACACCGCCCGUCAAGCCACGAAAGGGAGGGGCAUCCGAAGUCGCCGUUAACGCGCCGAAGAUGAAACUCCUGAUUGGGACU